AACGUAGGGGCCAAGCGUUAUCCGGAAUUACUGGGCGUAAAGCGCGUGCAGGCGGUUCUGAAAGUCGGACGUGAAAGCUCCCGGCCCAACUGGGAGAGGCCGUUCGAAACUGUGGAACUAGAGGAUGGUAGAGGCAAGUGGAAUUCCCGGUGUAGUGGUGAAAUGCGUAGAUAUCGGGAGGAACACCAGCGGCGAAAGCGGCUUGCUGGGCCAUCACUGACGCUCAGACGCGAAAGCCAGGGGAGAGAACGGGAUUAGAAACCCCGGUAUUCCUGGCUGUAAACGAUGUCAACUAGGUGUAGGGGGUAACCAACCCCUCUGUGCUGCCGCCAACGCAAUAAGUUGACCGCCUGGGGAGUACGGCCGCAAGGCUAAA
rnacentral:rRNA from 1 species